rnacentral:rRNA from 1 species
AUUGAACGCUGGCGGCAGGCCUAACACAUGCAAGUAGAGCGAGCCGCGGACGGGUGAGCAAUGUCUGGGAAACUGCCUGAUGGAGGGGGAUAACUACUGGAAACGGUAGCUAAUACCGCAUACCAUCAGAUGUGCCCAGUUGGGAUUAGCUGGUGGUUGGGGUAACGGCUCACCUAGGCGACGAUCCCUAGCUGGUCUGAGAGGAGGACCAGCCACACGGGAACGGGGCAAGGGUCCAGACUCCUACGGGAGGCAGCAGUGGGAAAUAUUGGAAAAUGGGCGCAAGCCGAAUGCAGCAAUGCGGCGUGUGGGAAGAAGGCCUUCGGGUGGUAAAGCCCUUUCGGCGGGGAGGCGUUACCCGCAGAGGAAGCACCGGCUAACUCCGUGCCAGCAGCCGCGGUAAUUC